UAACGCGUGGGAAUCUGCCCUGGAGUGUGGGAUAACCGAGGGAAACUUCGGCUAAUACCGCAUACGACCUGAGGGUGAAAGAUUUAUCGCUCUAGGAGGGGCCCGCGUCGGAUUAGCUAGCUGGUGGGGUAAUGGCCUACCAAGGCAGUGAUCCGUAGGUGGUUUGAGAGGAUGAUCAGCCACACUGGGACUGAGACACGGCCCAGACUCCUACGGGAGGCAGCAGUGGGGGAUAUUGGACAAUGGGCGAAAGCUUGAUCCAGCAAUGCCGCGUGAGUGAUGAAGGCCUUAGGGUUGU
rnacentral:rRNA from 1 species